GUUGAAAUUGUAAAAAAGGAUUAGAAAUGAUAUUUUAAUUGAAAUGGUUGAAAAUCAUAAAAUUGUGUAAAUUUUGUUGUGUUGGACAACUAUCCCUUUUCUUUUAUGUCUGUAUUUUUUAAGCAAAAAAAGAAGAAGAAGAAGGUAUAGUCAGUCGACGGCGAUGAUGAGGAAGCCGAGAGAGACAUACAUGAGCAAGACGGGGUAAAGGGCGAGAGCUUUCCUCUGUGGAUUCACAGCUGUGCUGAUGAAUGGAUAGGCAGCCCACGCGCUCCACGCCAGCGUCACGCCCACCGCCGCCAUCUUCACCAUCACCGGAGGCCUCAUCAUGCACACCAACGCCCCCACGUCAAGCGGCGCUAUGCAGUAACCUAGAAGGCUCAGGCUCUGGAAGAAGAUGAUGUGCCCGCCCUAUUCAACCAACAAUUCCUAUUAAUCAGCCAUCAAUUUAUCACUGCGCUGCUCUUCAAUUCGAUUCGAUUCGAUCAAUUACCAGAAGCAACACGUUCAAGGUGAGAAUCACGGCUCCCGCAGCAAGCACCGCGAACGCCACCGCAAACACUUGAGACUGCAAAAGCAAAUUAAACCAAUCAAUCAAAUCAGCACGCUUCCAUGGCUAGGGAUUCAGAAUCCGAGAUCUCACCUUCUGCACGGGCGAGGACCAGGAGAGCAUGAGGCCGAGGAAGAUGAUGAAGAAGAAGGGGCCCCACAGAUCCCAAUCCCUCAACGCCUUACCCGGAUCCUCUCGAUUAGGGUUGGGGAAGACGACCAGCUUCAAAUUGUUGACGAUCCGCCACAGAUCUCGCUUGAUCGUGUCCACCACGGGCUCUGUGAGAGUGUCUGCGGCGGCGUUACUGGUGUAGCCGCGCGGAGGCGGGGCGGGCGGGUUGGGGGCGUGGGGAGGGGCGCGGCCGAGGCUUGGCUGAGAUUGGAGGGCAUGAAUGCGGGGGGCGGCGGAGGGGCGGAGGACACCGGGAUGGAGGCGCGCGGCGGCGACGGGGGGCGGGCGGGGAGGACGGCGGUCGGGUACGAGUGGAUGAGGGUUUCGAUCUCGUCGAUGUCGGAUUGCGAGCUCGGAGGCAAUGUGGAUGGCUCGUUGUGGGACAUCGCGUCGGCUUUCCGGCGGUGGCGCGUUGCUUUUUAAAUUUUUGUAUUUUGUUUUUUUCUUCUUCUCUGUUUUUACCUUUUCCUUUUAACAAAAAAAAUAAUUUGACUGAGCACACUAGUAAACUAAAUUUAGUGAUAGAAUUAUAGAAACAUGAAUUUUUAUUACUAUUAUUAUUUUAUUCUUAUGAAUUUGGAUAUUGAUAACAUGUUAUUCAAAUUCAUCAUGUAAUUGUAAGUUUAGUAAAACAUCAAUUUAUUCUUCAAAAUUUGUAUAAAUAGAUGUUUCGAAAUAUUGGCACACCUUUAAUAGUCUUUGAUAUUUUUGGAACGUUUUAAAAGAACAAAAUUUCUUGUCUAGGAAUUGCUCAACAUGUUCUAAUUUUUNUUACCGGCACAACGGAGCUGAAAUUUAACGAAAUAAGAAGUGAUUAGUGCGCGUAAUGUUUACCUUAUCAACUUCCAUGGUAUGAUGGUAGAGUGAAAGAGGAGAGCGGCGGAAGUGAAAGUGAGUAUGCAGCGCUCAAGCAGAAACUAUGGAGCACAAAGCUUGCAACAAAACUCUCUCUCUCUCUAGGUUUAUGUUACUACUAAUACUUCCUCUAAUAGUAGAAAACUAGAAAUGUAAUUUUAAAUUAAAUGAUCAUAAAUUGAGUGGUUAUAAGUGCCUAAGUGGAGUGCGGAUCUAUUAAUGAUAAAUUUUAUAAAUAAUAAAAAGUUAAAAUUAAUAAAAUCUACGAGUUGAAUACUAGCAAGUUUGCGCUCGGCUCGUUUAAAUAUUCGGAUGUUCAAGCUCGAUUCGAGUUUUCAUAUUAUUGGUCGAGUUCGACUCGUCACCCAUUUACCGAGCUCGAGCUCGGUUCGUCGCCCACUUAUCAAGCUCGAUUCGGAUGGUGCUCGAUAAUAUUGAAUUCGAGCUUGAACUCGACUCGAUAAAAUUAUUGAGUUCGAACUCGGUUCGUUUACUAUCGAAUCGAGCUCCGAAUGAACAUUUUUCGAAUCAAAUUCCGAAUAGCUUGCGAGUAGCCCUGUUCAUUUACAACCCUACUUGCCAUUGUAUAUGAAUGUCUCAAAUUUUUCGUAAAUAGGUCGAAAACAAAAAUUGUGACAAAUUUUUCGUGGAGUAGUAUCUAUGCAUAUAAAUUAUUGAACUUUUAAAUAAUUUUUAUUUUACACAUUAAUUUUAAAAAUUGUAUUAAUUAUUUAAUUAUAUUUUUUUUUCUCAUUUUGCUAUGUCGCCUAUUUUUCGCCAAAUUUAAAGUUGAAGUGGUUGUAUGAAAUAAUUCUAUCUCACCCAAUUUUGCAAACAAACCUUGUUUUAAUAAUCGACAGAUUUAGACAUAUAAUAUUUCGAGGGAUCACUUUAGCACUAAAUUUAGCCGGAAAAUGAAUGAGAUAAUAAAAUAAAAAUAAUUGAGCAAUUUUAGUAGUAUAAUUUUAAAAUUAAUGUGUAGAAUCAAAAUUGUUUGAAUAUUUAAUAAUUUAUAUAUAAUUAACCUUUAGUAUACUAGCCAAAAAUCAGUAAAUAGGAUUGUAUUUUGGGAGAUUGUCUAAAAAAUCACAAAUUUUACGGUACGUAGUAAAUUCUACAUAAUUUAUUUAACCCACAUGCUCUCUCCGUCCCUCAAAUAUAUACUAGUAUAUUUUUUUAUAGUUGUCUUUAAAUGAUUUUCUAUUUAUUUUUUUAAAACACUACUCGAUCACUAAUAAUACACUAUUUAUUUAAUACUAGUAAAGCUACAAAAUGAUAUCGUUUCAGUACACAUUGGAUGAUGAUAAUAUGCAAGGAAAUUAUUUUGUAACGAUGUUUCCUUACGAAAAUUGAAUGACACUCUUUUCUUUAUUAAUUAUUAUACACAACAAAUACAAGAUCUUCUUGUUCAAAAAAUAGCUGACGUUAAAAUUGUAAAAAGGAUUGGAAAUUAUAUUUCAAUUGAAAUGGUUGAAAAUCAUAAAAUUGUGUAAAUUUUGUUGUGUUGGACAAUUAUCCAUUUUCUUUUAUGUUUGUAUUUUUUAAGCAAAAAAAGAAGAAGAAGAAGGUAUAGUCAGUCGACGGCGAUGAUGAGGAAGCCGAGAGAGACAUACAUGAGCAAGACGGGGUAAAGGGCGAGAGCUUUCCUCUGUGGAUUCACAGCUGUGCUGAUGAAUGGAUAGGCAGCCCACGCGCUCCACGCCAGCG
rnacentral:lncRNA from 1 species